rnacentral:tRNA from 1 species
UGAUAUAGCUCAGCGGUAGAGCACAUGCUUAGCAAGCACAGAGUCCUGGGUUCAAUUCCCGGUACCUCAA